UCACUUUACUUGCUCCUUCAUAACUAUAAUUUUGCUACUGUUAUGAAUUGUAAUGUAAAUAUCCGUGUUUUCCGAUGGUCUCAACACACAGGUUAAGAACCACUGGUAGAGAGGGACAGGCCACUCCAUAGGAAAAUCAGAUGCUGGAAAAGCAAAUAAGAUGUCUUCCACAGCUUCCUGGAGGUGCUGAAUAUUAAAAUCUGAAAACAGAAAAGAACUUACUCUGUCAAUGUCUGGGUGGGUUAGGAGGAUCUGUACUAUUUCUGCAUGUCCCCCUCCAGCAGCAAAAUGAAGAGGGCAGAAGGUCGGAAUAAAGCUGGAAUAAAGUGAGAUUGUGCAUGACGUUCAUCUAGCCACCUGGCAGAGAGGAAAGAGACAGAAGUGUGUGUUCAAAAGUGAAGGUGAAAAAGGCAGACUACUCUACAACUCUGACACGUGACACGUUCUAAUAUUAUGUACAGCUUUAAAAUAGUUUUAGUGUUAAGUACUUACAAACUAUGUCAGUAGAUAUAUUCUAAUUAUUCUAAAGUCUAUGCCAUUAUAAUCAUAAAACACCUUUAAAAAGUACGAAGUACUUCUACAUUGGGCUUCCUGAGAUGUGAUAGUACACAAAAGAAGACAGAUUAUGACUUGCUCACUGACAAGAGUAACUACUAUGCCUAUUUUUACAAGAGAAGAACCUUGAUCCUGAAAGCUGGGAAGUGCUUCUUCUUUUGGGAAAAUAAAACUAACAUCCUCUAAGUA